AUGGCAGAAUCUGCGCAUGCGCGAGGUGGUGGGGGAAAGAUGCCCACUGCCAUUAUCCCUAACCUCUGCAGCUGAGCUACAAACCAGUCGUAAUUAGCGCAGAUAGCGCACAUUUCAGCACUGCUGCAUGUUGUAGUGUGACACGAGGAGCCCGAUGUCUGUGGCAAAUGCGAAACACACUGUCCUGAAUCCGGUGAUCCCAUACACAGGACCCAUACCUGGAGGCCUGCACCCUGGGGAGAUUAUCAUCAUUCAGGGCACUGUACCCCCGGAUGCUGACAGGUUUCAGAUUGACCUGUCGAGCGGCUGCAGCACUAAGCCGCGCUCUGACGUCGCCCUCCACUUCAGCCCUCGCUUCAGAGGCUCUCCCUGUGUGGUCUGCAAGGCCCUGCUGCAGGAGAGCUGGGGCCAAGAGGAGACGCUCCAUCAGCUGCCAUACAAACGAGGAGCCCCCUUUGAGACCAUCAUCCUGGUGCAUGAAGAUGGUUUUAAGGUGGCAGUAAAUGGUACUCACCUGCUGGAAUACAAGCACAGAAUCCCACUAACCAGGGUCGACACGUUUUCUAUUUCAGGGAAAGUCAGGGUGCAUGCUAUUGGCUACAUCCCAAACUCGGCAAUAUAUUCCGAAUCAGGUGAUUUGAGCCUCCCUUACAAAGGCAGUAUUCUCAAAGGACUGAGCCCAGGGCAGCACAUCACAAUCAAAGGACAGGUCAGCAUGUAUCCUCACAGUUUCACAGUGAACCUCCGCAACAGCAGGACUGAGAACAUCGCUCUCCAUCUGAACCCGCGCAUGAAGUCGGGCAUGUUCAUCAGGAACUCAUACCUGAGUGAGUCCUGGGGCCAGGAGGAGCGGGAGCUGCCCUUCUUUCCCUUCUCAUCAGGCGAGUACUUUGAGAUUCUCAUCCUCUGUCAGCCCCAUCAGUUCAAGCUGGCAGUGAAUGGCUCACACUUGUUUGAGUUCAGACAUCGGGUGCAGGACCUGAGCAGCAUUGACCAGCUGGAGAUCAUGGGAGACCUGGAGCUUACUGAUGUGAAACUGUGGUGACUCAGGACCCCAAACUGACAGAAGCCAAUAUUACAGACUGUGUUCUGGUUGUCCUUGCUAAAUUAGCCUAGCACAACGAGCCAGACGAUGGACAGUGAACAUGGCAAACCCUGUGCUGACUUCAUGUUUGUAUGUCAGGUGAGGAGCUUGCAUCUUGGAGCAACCACAGGUCACUGAUUUUAAGAUAGUCUAGCAUUUGUGGUGGCCAUGGACCAUGGAUGGGUCCUACCACAGACUAAACAAAGUCCAGUCUUUCCAGCCCCAACUAGAGGACUGAUGCAUGAGUAGUCAGGCUGUGAGCCACCAUGACUGUUUUCGACUACAAGUCAGGUUUACUUUGGUUCAUUGCUUCUACUGUGGCUAGUGCACUGCUGUGAUAUUCCCUUUGUGCAAUGUAUAAUUGAAACAGGAAGUAUGUAAAUAGCACCAAAAACAUCAAAUAUAACAAUGAAUGAAAGUGAAGAUUAUGUAUACAGCCUGUGUUCCUCUGUAUUGCUCUGUAAAAGGUAAAUAAUAUGUGUUACACUAAAAAUGUUUAAAUUGAUGUGGCUGGUAGACAUGUCAUCGUAGUAAACCAUAUCUCAAACAUUAGGGCAACCUUUACUGGGAGUGAAUUGUACCUGACAGACAAAAAUGUUAUUUUGUUUUAUAAUAUAAAUUUGUAUUGUUUUUGUAUGUAUGAAAAACAAACAGCUGAAUAAUCUUUUUAAGAUGACAGUAUCUUUGUUAAGUAGUGUUGGCAGUGCUUCAGUUUACAGUAGUUUAGCCUGACUUGUCCACAGCCAGUGGGGAACAGCCUCUUCAGAAAGGUCAAGAUCAACUUACUAAGCCUGGCUAGACCCAGAUGUGUCAGCCGUCCAGACACUUACUCGGCCUAGGUCAAGACUGGCUUGGUUUCUCACCCAGAGUUUGCAUUGCUUUCAGUAUGUAUACAUUAUUCACACAAUAAGUGAUUUUCAGUGGUAUAAGAUUUAAAUUAACCUUAGAAAAAUAAAACACCUGGUACCUUUAUGCCGCAUCUGGAAUACC